UGUUCAAGACAUAUGCAGAAGUGCAGGAUUCUGAACAAGUCCUGAUGGGAAACCAUGUUGCGGCAGAUGUUGCUGAAAAAGGAAGUAUUGAGAUUAACUUCACAUCUGGCCAGAAGUUGACAUUACUAAAUGUGUUUCAUGUUCCUAAUAUGAAGAAAAACUUAAUGUCUGCUGCUUUGCUAAAGGCUUUAAGAUAGUUAUUGAGUCUGAUCAUGUAAUAGUGUCUAAGAAUGGUGUUUUUGUUGGAAAAGGCUAUAACUGUAACGGCAUGUUCAAAUUGAGUAUUAAUGAAAUAAAUUAUGUUUCUGCUUA